rnacentral:lncRNA from 1 species
UAGGAGGCUACUACAACAAUUCAAGCAGGAGAUGAUGGUGGCUUGGGCCAGGGUGGUAGCAAAGAAGGAGGUAAGAAAUGUUGAGAUUCUGGUCAUAUUUUGAAGAUUGAGCUGACCGAAUUUGCUGAUGCAUGAAUGUACAUUAUAAAAGAGAGUCAAAGAUGACUCAAGGGGAGAUAAUGAAGACCAUGCCAGGGGCCUCUGAAAUGUUGAAUCAGAGUCAGAAGACAGAAACGGUCCCACUAACUCAUUGUCUAACUGUGUGGGAUAAAACAAAAUAUAUUUGGUCUUUGUCCUGGUUUCUAAAACCCUUGGAAUUUCCUGAGUCCUUCAUUUUUUAUUCUUAAAGAAGCCACUUAUGAUGACACCUGAGCUUAUGUUAACGAGGUGACUUUAUGGACAAAAUAAACCAAUUUAUUUUCCAUUAAUAAUAAUAAUUUCAUCUUUGAAUUAGGAAAAGGAUUUGUUCAAA